AGCGAACGCUGGCGGCAGGCUUAACACAUGCAAGUCGAACGGGCACUUCGGUGUCAGUGGCAGACGGGUGAGUAACACGUGGGAACGUACCUUUUGGUUCGGAACAACUGAGGGAAACUUCAGCUAAUACCGGAUAAGCCCUUACGGGGAAAGAUUUAUCGCCGAAAGAUCGGCCCGCGUCCGAUUAGCUAGUUGGUAGGGUAAUGGCCUACCAAGGCGACGAUCAGUAGCUGGUCUGAGAGGAUGAUCAGCCACAUUGGGACUGAGACACGGCCCAAACUCCAACGGGAGGCAGCAGUGGGGAAUAUUGGACAAUGGGGGCAACCCUGAUCCAGCCAUGCCGCGUGAGUGAUGAAGGCCCUAGGGUUGUAAAGCUCUUUUGUACGGGAAGAUAAUGACGGUACCGUAAGAAUAAGCCCCGGCUAACUCUGUGCCAGCCGCCGCGGUAA
rnacentral:rRNA from 1 species